rnacentral:lncRNA from 1 species
CCUGUACCUACAGUUUUAAACACACCACCUCAUCCCUCACACAUUUAGGGUUUGUCUGUAAUGGCACCCUAUUCCCUUUAUAGUGCACUACAGGGAAUACAGUAGUUGACAUUUAUGAUGCAGCUUUCCACAACAGGGGGGGUGNCGGUCACACACAGACAUACAGAUCACGAGCGAGAUCCCACAGCUGACACCAAUCGAGCCGUCCCCUCUCGCCCUCUCCUUUCUCUAGGAGGAAGAGCGGAUGUCUUUCUCACUCCGACCAUUUUCCUUUUUCUUCAACAGUGUGUGAGAGCUGCUUUCCCUCAUUUAGGCAUAACAAAGCACACCCCGCCAUGGCGUCCCCGGUCCCCCUUUCUGUCUCUCACAACCUCCUCUCCCCUCUACUCCCUGUUUGUCUACGUUUGUGUGCACUGUGUGAACCUUUGUCCUUGUUAAAUACUACAGUACACAACCCAGUUGGAAAAUACAACUCAAUCUUUCUGUGUGUUCUAGGAAAACUAUAUAAUUCUAUACCGAUUUAAAGAAAUAAAAAUGAUAUGUUGGAAAUAAAACAUCUCAAGAUAAUACAUUCAAUGAAAAAGAACAUCGGCGACAUUGUUGAGCGUGUCAUGGGAAAAAGAGGAAAGAUCACUCUGUUUCCUUGUUUUGUAUGGUUUCCAAUCAUUUUUUCGCCGGGUUUUCAGAAAGCCGAUGCAAAAAUGUAACAAAAAAAACCCCCCCACAAAAAACAACAGUGACAAGGUUGUGUUUUAUUAUUAAAACAUGCGAGACAGAAACUAUGGCGUCCAUAUUCCUGCUACCACUUCUGACGUGCCGGUGCAAUGUGGUGUGAUUAUUUGGUGUGAGAUGAUGAGUCCAUGUUCCUGGAGUCCGGUCCAGUCUAGGUGACACAGUCCAGGUAUUGAGUUCCGUGUGAAUGUCUGCAUUGGAGACCAGCAGAGAAACAGCCAUUUCAGGCUGGGUCUUACUCAGAGGGCUGUAGGGGGUUGAGACUACAGAGGAAGUAAAAAACAGUCGUAGAACAUGUGUGUGAAAGAAUAUGAAACCAACACCAAUAAAACAUCUAGAACAUUUAAUACAACCUAGCACUGUCUGUGUGUCUUUGUCUCUCCCUGCCUUCGACUCACUACACUGACUUUCAGCUUCCUUUCCCCCUCUUUUCUCAUUGUCAGUCUGAUACUACAUGGCUUAAAUGCUAAAUGUAGGCCUGAAUCGAUGAAAUGUUGUAGGAUGAUCAGUAAAUGAUCUUUUUGUCUUCACCUGGACAACAUCUGAACACAAUGAAAUAUCUGUAAGAGAAUAAGUGAUUGCUGCUGUAUUUAGUGUUUUACUGUGUUCCUGUGUUGUAUCUAUAGUGUUGAGGUACAUAUUGGCAGAGCGCUAGGAUGCCAUCUAAUGAUGAGAAUCGCAUCAGGUUACACUGCAACGUGUAUAGCUGAUAGAAGACUGUGAGUUGGCAAGAGCCCAGGGUAAUGCACCAAAUGACCAAAUCAAGUAUAUAUUUUGGCGUUGAUGUUAAAACCUAAAAAAAAACUACAAACAGAAGAAAGGCAGUAGUCCUUCCCAGACAACUGAUAUUCCGCAUUAGUAAAACAGAUUUAAACAAUUGUCUGCGAGUAAAGAAUAUCAAGUCAUCUUCAUUUGACAUUUCUGAAGCUUUGUUAGUCUUGCCUUGUGUUCGGUACCUACUGGUAACAGGAGUACAGAUACAAUAUGGGCCAGUUUCCCAGACUGAGAUUAAGCCUAAUCCUGGACUAAAAAAGCACUUUCGUUCUCCCCAAAACAUGUUUAAUCCUGGAGUAAGAUUAAUCUGGGCUAAAUAGAUGUGUUCAG